UGAUUGUUUGUUAAUGCCACACUAUGGUGAACUGCUAGCCCCUAAACCAAAAAGAGAAAUUGAUGAUUCCAACGAUCCCUAAAAGAUAUAUAAAGAAAAAACAUUCAAAAUCAUAUUCAUUGAGCCAAGAUAAAGAUUGGGUGUGACGACUUAAUUUGUGUAAUUUUCGGAACUUGUGAAAAUAACAAAGAUUGGAGUCACUUUCAGGAUUGAAUAGAUAGUUGCACGAAUAAUAGGUUCUUGUUAAUGUUGGAUAAUUCUAAACUCCUGGAAACUUAACAUAUUAUUAGAUGUUUAAUAUGUUAAGAUAAACACAAUAAAAAAAAGAAAAUUACCUAAAAUAACACACAUUUGUUAGGUAAUGACUAAAAUAACUUACAAAAAGAAAAAAGAAAAAAAAAGAUGAGUUAAAGUCUAUAAUGCCCCACUAAUAAAAUGAAUUAAACAAAUUUUAAAAAUAAACAUCCUCCUAUACAUUAAAAGAGAAGUCACUUUAGUGAUUUCUGCUGAGGUGGCACUCAUAUAGAGCUUCUCAGAAAAAACGUUAUAAUUCUAUUGGCUGGUUUUUUUGAAUUUUUCUUUUUCAUUUAUUUUAAUCAAUCGCUUAUGUAGACAAGCCCAAAACUAUUGUCGAUUUCGUUAAGCCCAUAUAUAGCUAGGGGAUAAUAAUUAUCGAUUUAGUUUAGCCUUGGGUACCCGUUCGGGUUC
rnacentral:lncRNA from 1 species